rnacentral:rRNA from 1 species
GACAACGCUGGCGGCGUGCCUAACACAUGCAAGUCGAGCGGGGUUGAAGCGAGGGGUAACUCAAGCUUCUACCUAGCGGCGGACGGGUGAGUAACGCGUGGGCAACCUGCCUCAAGGGUCUGGGAUAACAGCUCGAAAGGGCUGCUAAUACCGGAUAUGCCUAUGGCCUCGCAUGGGGCUAUGAGCAAAGGGGAAACCCGCCUUGAGAUGGGCCCGCGUCCCAUCAGCUAGUUGGUGAGGUAACAGCUCACCAAGGCGACGACGGGUAGCCGGCCUGAGAGGGUGACCGGCCACACUGGGACUGAGACACGGCCCAGACUCCUACGGGGGGCAGCAGUGGGGGAUCUUGCACAAUGGGCGAAAGCCUGAUGCAGCGACGCCGCGUGAGCGAAGAAGGCCUUCGGGUUGUAAAGCUCUGUCUGGAGGGACGAAGGAAGUGACGGUACCUCCGGAGGAAGCCACGGCUAACUACGUG